GCUAUUCUUGGGUCUUUUGGGAAGUGGGAGAACUGGGAUUUAUUGGGAAUCAUAAUCAAUGUGGAUUUUGAUUCGAGUUGCAUCGUUAUGUGAACCAACAGUGUAGUGCACGCAUAUUAGCCUGUGGACUUCACGCUUGUAUUUAAUCAUAAGUUCAUCAAUAUUGUUUAAGGUGAUGAAAUGGUUUGUGGUUGAUAGGUUCAAAAAGCAGGCUCAGUGG
rnacentral:misc_RNA from 1 species